AGGACGAACGCUGGCGGCGUGCUUAACACAUGCAAGUCGAGCGGAAAGGCCCUUCGGGGUACUCGAGCGGCGAACGGGUGAGUAACACGUGAGUAAUCUGCCCCUAGCUCUGGGAUAGCUCCGGGAAACCGGGAUUAAUACCGGAUACGACCACCUUAGACAUCUUUUGUGGUGGAAAGAAUUUCGGCUAGGGAUGAGCUCGCGGCCUAUCAGCUUGUUGGUGGGGUAAUGGCCUACCAAGGCGACGACGGGUAGCCGGCCUGAGAGGGCGACCGGCCACACUGGGACUGAGACACGGCCCAGACUCCUACGGGAGGCAGCAGUGGGGAAUAUUGCGCAAUGGGCGAAAGCCUGACGCAGCGACGCCGCGUGGGGGAUGAAGGCCUUCGGGUUGUAAACCCUUUCAGCAGGGACGAAGCGAAAGUGACGGUACCUGCAGAAGAGCGCCGGCUAACUACGCGCCAGCAGCCGC
rnacentral:rRNA from 1 species